rnacentral:rRNA from 1 species
ACGAACGUUGGCGGCGUGGAUUAGGCAUGCAAGUCGAGCGAGGACAGGGGGCAACUCCUGAGCCGAGCGGCGUAAGGGGCAGUAAUGCGUGGGUAACGUACCCCCGGGACUGGAAUAGCCACGGGAAACUGUGGGUAAUACCGGGCGACGUAACGACGGGGCAUCUCGUUGUUACCAAAUGAAUUUCGCCUGGGGAGCGGCUCACGUGGUAUUAGCUAGUUGGUAGGGUAACGGCCUACCAAGGCGAAGAUGCCUAGCGGGUGUGAGAGCACGACCCGCGCCAUUGGCACUGAGACACUGGCCAGACACCUACGGGUGGCUGCAGUCGAGGAUCUUCGGCAAUGGGCGCAAGCCUGACCGAGCGACGCCGCGUGCGGGAUGAAGGCCUUCGGGUUGUAAACCGCUGUCGUGGGGGAGAAAGGCGCAAGCUUGAUCUAUCCCAGGAGGAAGCACGGGCUAAGUUCGUGCCAGCAGCCGCGGUAAGACGAACCGUGCAAACGUUGUUCGGAAUCACUGGGCUUAAAGGGCGCGUAGGCGGCUUAGCAAGUCGGGGGUGAAAUCUUUCGGCUCAACCGGAAAAGGGCCUUCGAUACUGCUAAGCUCGAGGAGGGUAGGGGUCACGGGAACGACCAGUGGAGCGGUGAAAUGCGUUGAGAUUGGUAGGAACGCCGGUGGCGAAAGCGCGUGACUGGACCCUCCCUGACGCUGAGGCGCGAAAGCUAGGGGAGCAAACGGGAUUAGAUACCCCGGUAGUCCUAGCCCUAAACGAUGGGUACUAGGCGGUGGACUUGACAUGGGUUCACCGCCGAAGCAAAAGUGCUAAGUACCCCGCCUGGGGAGUAUGGUCGCAAGGCUGAAACUCAAAGGAAUUGACGGGGGCUCACACAAGCGGUGGAGCAUGUGGCUUAAUUCGAGGCUACGCGAAGAACCUUAUCCUGGGCUUGACAUGUGCGAAAGCGGCAGGAAGUACCCAGCGGAAACGUUUGGGGAACGGUAUCCAAUCCGGAACCUGCUACAGGUGCUGCAUGGCUGUCGUCAGCUCGUGUCGUGAGAUGUCGGGUUAAGUCCCAUAACGAGCGAAACCCUUGCUCCUAGUUGCCAACGUAAAGUCGGGGACUCUAGGAGGACUGCCGGUGUUAAACCGGAGGAAGGCGGGGAUGACGUCAAGUCCUCAUGGCCUUUAUGCCCAGGGCUGCACACGUGCUACAAUGCGGCAUACAAAGGGAAGCGAACGCGCGAGCGGGAGCCAAUCCCAAAAAAUGCCGCCCAGUUCAGAUUGAAGGCUGCAACUCGCCUUCAUGAAGCCGGAAUCGCUAGUAAUCGCGGAUCAGCAACGCCGCGGUGAAUGUGUUCCUG